GGGGAAUAUUGGACAAUGGGCGAAAGCCUGAUCCAGCAAUGCCGCGUGAACGAUGAAGGCCUUAGGGUUGUAAAGUUCUUUCGGUGGGGAAGAUAAUGACGGUACCCACAUAAGAAGCUCCGGCUAACUCCGUGCCAGCAGCCGCGGUAAUACGGAGGGAGCUAGCGUUGUUCGGAAUUACUGGGCGUAAAGAGCGCGUAGGCGGCUAACUAAGUUGGAAGUGAAAUCCCAGGGCUUAACCCUGGAAUUGCUUUCAAAACUGGUUAGCUAGAGGACGAUAGAGGAUGGUGGAAUUCCUAGUGUAGAGGUGAAAUUCUUAGAUAUUAGGAGGAACAUCGGAGGCGAAGGCGACCAUCUGGGUCGUAUCUGACGCUGAGGCGCGAAAGCGUGGGGAGCAAACAGGA
rnacentral:rRNA from 1 species